AAAAGAAACCAACAGGGAUUGCCUUAGUAACGGCGAGUGAAGCGGCAAAAGCUCAAAUUUGAAAUCUGGCGUCUUCGGCGUCCGAGUUGUAAUUUGAAGAAGGCUACUUUGGGGCUGGAGUUUGUCUAAGUUCCUUGGAACAGGACGUCACAGAGGGUGAGAAUCCCGUGAGAUAAGCUUCCCAGUUCUAUGUAAAGUGCUUUCGAAGAGUCGAGUUGUUUGGGAAUGCAGCUCUAAGUGGGUGGUAAAUUCCAUCUAAAGCUAAAUAUUGGCGAGAGACCGAUAGCGAACAAGUACAGUGAUGGAAAGAUGAAAAGAACUUUGAAAAGAGAGUGAAAAAGUACGUGAAAUUGUUGAAAGGGAAGGGCUUGAGAUCAGACAUGGUAUUUUGCAAACCUUCUCUCUCGUGGAGGGGGCCCCUUGCAGUUUACUGGGCCAGCAUCAGUUUGGGCGGUAGGAUAAUGACUAAGGAAUGUGACUUGCCUUCGGGGAAGUGUUAUAGCCUUGGUUGAUACUGCCAGCCUAGACUGAGGACCGCGUCUUGACAA
rnacentral:rRNA from 1 species